CUUGCUCCGUUCACCUCUCAUUUUCUGCAUCAUUUUUAUAGCUUCUUCUCCUGCAGCAGACCGGCUCCUUCUUCCUUCUUUGUGACGCCGAAUCCUUCACAUUUUCGUGUGAUUUUGAUGUAAAUGAUAAAGAGGCCGAGCCUGAGAAUGCAGCUCUGUCGAAGGAUUGAUUGGGUGCCUCUUACUUGUAUAUGUUGGAAAUUAUUUUUUCCUGCUUUUAAAUUAUAUAUUUUGAUUAAUGACUUUGUUAUUGAAAAGUUUUAAUAUUUUUGGUAUGCUUAUUUUUAAGCAAGAUUUGUAUUUAAACAAUUAUGAUACUUAGUGAUCGACUUAAUUCAUUCCACUGCGUUGUUUUUAUUAUACACUUUUGCUUGUGCACACACUUGAGACUUAGCGAUGGGAUGCGUGACCCGUAUUAUCAUCAUCUCGGACAUCUCGAUUUCCACGUGUAUGUACGUGGAAAGUUAGGGACAUCACAAAACGUAGUGCCUAAUUUUGCUGUACAAUGUGUAACUUAAAAAACAUAGCAAAUUGAACAAAAUUCAAUUUUUACAUGACGUGCACAACCAGCAUUAAGAUACCGGCAGCUCACAUAAAUUCUACAUCUUCAUGUCGUUCCAGGACAAUGGUGGCAAGAGCAAGUCUAUACGAUGAGGAUCUUAGAGCAUCCGCAUCGGUCUCGCCAAUGCCUUGUCUAAGUUUAACAUAGCCAGCAGGUUAACCAUUUUUCAUCUACAAUAGCCUAGUCAAAUUUUAAAAGUUUGACAUAAAGGCUACAGUAAUUGUUGGGUCCUCGCCAACAAUGAAGAGUUACUGUACCAAGUCUAUACAAUAGUUUAUCAUUUUUCUUGUACCGGCUUUCUCUCAUUUCCCUCGGUUUACCGUUUUUCCCCUCAUUUCUCUCAUUUCCCUCUGCAGCUUCUCCCGAACGAAGCUCUCCCCCCAUUCGACCUUCUUCGUCCAGCAUUGGCGAAUCAAAUCCACCGGUUGCCUUCUCCAGCAGACGCCGUCGUCUCCGAACUGUCGACGCCAUUAUCGAAUCACUUGACCGAACAUCAGCUUGCUCCACGAUUGGAAGGCAUCAGUUUGCUCCACCAUUCACGCCGACGGUUCGAAGACCCACGAAUCCGACGCUACCGUCGCCCCUGCUUGCUUAGAUAAAAAAUAAAUAAAUAAAAAAUGAAACGUAUUCGUUCUUGAAAGUUCGUAGCUUUGAGACAAAAAGCAAAAUGAACGAGGACGACGACAAAGGCAACUCUUGCUCCACAGGGGAUUUGAACCUUUGCCCCAUCUGCCUCGGCCCUAUCUUUCAAGAUUCCUACCUUGAUAAAUGUUUCCGUAUGUUUCUUAUAUCUUUUCUCUCUCUGUUUGGGUGCCGAGAUAGUGAAGGAAAUGAAAAUCUAGAGGGUUCUUUUUAGACAAUCAUUAUUGUUGGAUUUUGAAACUUAUCUAUUACCUUAAUUUUGGUUUCCAAAUGAUGAAAAUUUGACAUCUAUUUAAGAUUUCAAUUUUUUUUUUCUUGAUUUUUUCCUUCUUUUUUUUUUUGGCAAUUAAAUUGGCAUCACUGUAAUAAGUUAAAGACUGUUGUUUGUUCAAUCCCAUGAGUUGGGUUUUUGCAAGACCUCUAAAAUUGUUAUAUAAAGAAACCCUUUUCAGCUUUCACUGCUUCUAACUGUUUGAUCGAAAAUUUGUUUGUAUUUUAUGUGAAUUAAUUUACGUCUUGUUUAAAUUAUUGAAGUUUAAUUAUUUGUUUAAGUUUCAUUUUUCCCAGCAUGAAAUAAUUUCCUGAAUUAAUCUGAUCAGGUAAUGUUGUGGAAGUCAUGGUAUGUAAAACAAUACUAACAUGGUAGACUCGUUCUUAAGAGCAUUGUGGUAGAAUAAAACGCAAUUCCACCGUCUUUGUAGCAUGUGAGUUUUAUGGUCUGCAUAGUUUCGAAGCUGAGUAACUGACAAGAAACUAAUCACUUAUUAAAAAAAAAAUUAAAGGAAAUUAAUCACCAACUGACCGCCAAAAUGUCUGCAAAGGUCUUGGAGAGGAGAGAUGAACCGAUUGCCAGAUUUUUGUGGUGAUAUGCAUGCAUGCUUGUAUGUGAAGGUGGUGCUGAUGGGAGUGGGGUUGACUAGAGAAACUAAAGCACUUGGUUGGGUACAUCUUUGCAGAAUCAUCACUGUUUACAAUUACCAGAGUUCAUAUUAGAAGUCCACAAUUGUUUUCAACAUUCUUCUAAUCAUGUCAUGUUUCUUAAUUUUGUUGUCUAUGGUUCAGGAAUGUAUAAUGCUUGUUAUUAAUUUCCCAAUUUAAUGGGGAGUGAACAUACUGCCUUCUUCCCCUGUAAGCAUGAAAUUAGUGCAGGAAAUUGUAUUUAGUCUUUUAUUAAUCUUGAUAAUUUUAUUCAUAUGUUACAGAUAAGUUUUGUUAUACUUGCAUUGUACAAUGGACCAAAGUUGUUGCUGGCAAGCUCUCUCGCCCACUUCCCUCUGUAAAAUGUCCCCUCUGCAAGGUUCAGUUUGAUCUAUUGUUCUUUCAGACUACUACACCCUGGUUGGGUUUCUUUUUUUCUUUCUUUUCCUGCUUCGAAAGUACUGUGUUCCCAAGUUGUUCCUUUAUUUAUUUAUUUAAUAAAGUUAUUAAUUAAUA